GUCUGACUUGCAUACUUUGUUGUUUGGAAUUUUCAGAGUGGGUCAGUGGAGAAAACACAACCUUUUUUAUUGUUUUAUAGCACAUACUCUUCUUAAAAUGUCCACAAUGCAGUCUAUAUUUUUCCCCAAAGAUUUAAAGCUAAGCCUGCUAAGAAAGGAGAAUGUUCUGCACGGCCAUGCUGAACCACAGAGGGCUGUUAAUGAUAGUGGGUGAAGACACCGUGCAGUCUUACUUGCCACCAUCACAUCUGAGGCUGACAGAGAGGAUUGUGGGAGUCACGGUCCAUGCCACCUUGCUCUCUGUAGCUCAGCAGCAGCUGCAGUGGUGGCAGUGAUGCAUCUUAUAGGGAGAGCUCAGGACCUGUCACCAACAAUAUUGCCAUAAUCCAAGAUAAUGCUGUAACAGAGCAAUUUUCUGCUUGAGAGACCUCAGGAAGUCCCCAGUGGAGGAGGAAAUUUGUGGCACCAUAGAGUGUUCUGGAGGGUGGGCAUGUGGACGGCACUUACAGCCGCAAAUCCUUAGCGUGAUGAUGGCCUCUGAGUUGAAGGAUCAUUUUGGAUGGGGUUAGAGCCACAGAAAAUCCCAUGCGAAUGUUUGCACCCAGAACCUCUGCAUUUACCCCACAUUAUAUGGUAUUUUAUGAACAGGCCCUUUUAUGUUCUUUUUAGAAAGAAGAGCUUUAUUUUGUGUACAUUAUUUUCUUUAUCAUGUUCUUGGGGAAAGAGCCAGUGUUUAUUGUUUGUGUUUUUUUUCUGUCUUUGAGUCACUUUAUGAGUUAUAUUGUGUUUGCUAUUAUAUGCUUAGUUUUUUACAUUUGUAGAGAAAAAAAUAUUUAAUACAUCAUUUUAUUGUAAUUGCAAACAUGAAAAAAAGUUUCUGAGCAUUAUCUAGUGUGAAAGGUUCUAUUUUUAAAAUUUGGUUUGCACUCUGUGUGUAUCAUAAGUACGGUAAAGGAUCAUAUUUUCUCCCGGAGAGGGCAGCAUGUGUGUUUGUGUCUGACUGUGUUUAUGUGUGGUCUACUAUCAUGUUUAUACUGUGACCCCCAAGAGGAACUGCAGUUAGCCUGUGCCGGGGAGACGAUGGUGGGGGCUGCAGCUUUCAUUGUUAACACGGAGAGCUUCUGUGUAUGAGGAGAAAACCAGAGGCUUUGAUGUAAAACUCAGAGAGCAUCCAGUCUCUAUCCUCUCCCUCUCUUUCUGUCUCCCUCUCUCUUUCUGUCUCUCUUAAGGUUAGAGUUUAUAUCGCUCCUUCCAUUCAGCUCACAGUCAGGAAAAACAAGCCUGGGCAAUUCAUUAGAUAAUCCCAUUAUAUUUCUCCUCCAGCAUGGCUUGGGUGAGUGAGACUGAAAAAUUGUCUAGGUUUCUUCUUCGAGAUGUAUCAUAAUGGCCUCACCGUGUCCUGCUCUCGAAUAUGUUGUCUCUCGUCUGAAUGAAGGUUCUGCUUAAUUGGUGACAUGUCAUACAGUUGAAGUCUAGAGGUAGAACACAUAGACUAUAGGAUUGAAAAAUGCUGUUGUUGCAGUGUCGUGAGGGCAUCAUAAUUUUUUGAAAACAUACCUCAGUUCCCUUUUUUCUGCUUUAAAUUCAAGCAUGAGUAAAGGUCUCGCAGAUUGUCAAGCAGUUCUUUCUAAAGUGAAUGCUGACAGUGUGGUGGGAGAUACCCCAAAUUUAGUCAGGCACCACUGUACUUAGUUUGUUGCUACUUGUGGUUGUAUUUUUCAAUUUCUUUGUGUGGUAUAUUCGCUGUCUGUGCCAGCACGGUGAGAUUCCUCUGACACCAAUCACUCAGUAGUGAGGCCAUUCCAUGUGGUAAAUCACCCCGGAGUCACUACUGUACGCUGUAGAGCAAUAUUGCUGCAGAGAGGACGACCUCUUCCUCCUGGCUAACAAUACGCUCCUGAUGAUGUCGACAUGCGGACAACAGUAGCAUCCAAAGUGAGGUCUCUUUUUGAAGAGCAGUGAUAAAUAAAGUGGAAAGAGAAAGAUAACUAUUUCAAGGCCCACACUGACGAUAAGGGAAAGAAAAAAAGACAGAGCUUUUGCCUAUUCUACUUCAGCCACACUGAAGAGGACUUGGCACAGAUGGAUUGCACACUACAGAAUGUCAUGGAUAUAAUUCAAGCUGCCAGCUUAAUCAGGAUGUUACCAGGAAACAACCUGCAAAAAAGAAGGAGCAAUUGUUUGCUGACCCCUAACCCAAGAGCCCAUUACAGAUUGUCAUAAAUUCUUUUUGGCCUCUUUUUAUGUAAGGGGGCUCAGAAUCUCUCGGCUUGGGGCUUCUGGGAGAAUUCAAUGAGGGCCACCCAGAGCUUAAUGCUCAAGAAAGAGAUGGAUUCUCAAUGUCCACAUGCAUUAGGCAUCCAUUUCUCAUUUUGCAGCCUCACACAGGACCAGAUUAAAGUGUAAAUCUCUCACCAAAAGAAAUCAUCCAGAAGCCCCUCUUUUUUUUUUUUUUUGGAAACAUUUUUUUUUCUGACACUUUUAAGUGUGUUGGCAAUCUGAGUUAUUAGUAUUUUCAUUACUGUUCAGUUUUAUUAUCAUAUUACUGACUUUAUUGAACAUUUCUGUGCAGUUUAAUUGUAUAUAUAUAUAUACAUACAUACAUAUGGAGUCGCAUUUUUGUUUAGCAGCAGACAGCUAAUUCUGCAAGUUCUUGUUUUGAAUGCCAGGUUUCAAAAGCUUUCCCAUGCAACCUGUAAUUACCUGUGGCACCAUCAACAGACACACUGAACUGCUGAAAUCCUGUAUUGUGACAGCAAAA